AAGCGUCGGUAAGGUGAUAUGAACCGUUAUAACCGGCGAUUUCCGAAUGGGGAAACCCAGUGUGUUUCGACACACUAUCAUUAACUGAAUCCAUAGGUUAAUGAGGCGAACCGGGGGAACUGAAACAUCUAAGUACCCCGAGGAAAAGAAAUCAACCGAGAUUCCCCCAGUAGCGGCGAGCGAACGGGGAGGAGCCCAGAGCCUGAAUCAGUGUGUGUGUUAGUGGAAGCGUCUGGAAAGGCGCGCGAUACAGGGUGACAGCCCCGUACACAAAAAUGCACAUGCUGUGAGCUCGAUGAGUAGGGCGGGACACGUGGUAUCCUGUCUGAAUAUGGGGGGACCAUCCUCCAAGGCUAAAUACUCCUGACUGACCGAUAGUGAACCAGUACCGUGAGGGAAAGGCGAAAAGAACCCCGGCGAGGGGAGUGAAAAAGAACCUGAAACCGUGUACGUACAAGCAGUGGGAGCACAGAGCAAUCUGUGUGACUGCGUACCUUUUGUAUAAUGGGUCAGCGACUUAUAUUCUGUAGCAAGGUUAACCGAAUAGGGGAGCCGAAGGGAAACCGAGUCUUAACUGGGCGUUAAGUUGCAGGGUAUAGACCCGAAACCCGGUGAUCUAGCCAUGGGCAGGUUGAAGGUUGGGUAACACUAACUGGAGGACCGAACCGACUAAUGUUGAAAAAUUAGCGGAUGACUUGUGGCUGGGGGUGAAAGGCCAAUCAAACCGGGAGAUAGCUGGUUCUCCCCGAAAGCUAUUUAGGUAGCGCCUCGUGAAUUCAUCUCCGGGGGUAGAGCACUGUUUCGGCAAGGGGGUCAUCCCGACUUACCAACCCGAUGCAAACUGCGAAUACCGGAGAAUGUUAUCACGGGAGACACACGGCGGGUGCUAACGUCCGUCGUGAAGAGGGAAACAACCCAGACCGCCAGCUAAGGUCCCAAAGUCAUGGUUAAGUGGGAAACGAUGUGGGAAGGCCCAGACAGCCAGGAUGUUGGCUUAGAAGCAGCCAUCAUUUAAAGAAAGCGUAAUAGCUCACUGGUCGAGUCGGCCUGCGCGGAAGAUGUAACGGGGCUAAACCAUGCACCGAAGCUGCGGCAGCGACGCUGAUGCGUUGUUGGGUAGGGGAGCGUUCUGUAAGCCUGUGAAGGUGUGCUGUGAGGCAUGCUGGAGGUAUCAGAAGUGCGAAUGCUGACAUAAGUAACGAUAAAGCGGGUGAAAAGCCCGCUCGCCGGAAGACCAAGGGUUCCUGUCCAACGUUAAUCGGGGCAGGGUGAGUCGACCCCUAAGGCGAGGCCGAAAGGCGUAGUCGAUGGGAAACAGGUUAAUAUUCCUGUACUUGGUGUUACUGCGAAGGGGGGACGGAGAAGGCUAUGUUGGCCGGGCGACGGUUGUCCCGGUUUAAGCGUGUAGGCUGGUUUUCCAGGCAAAUCCGGAAAACUAAGGCUGAGGCGUGAUGACGAGGCACUACGGUGCUGAAGCAACAAAUGCCCUGCUUCCAGGAAAAGCCUCUAAGCAUCAGGUAACAUCAAAUCGUACCCCAAACCGACACAGGUGGUCAGGUAGAGAAUACCAAGGCGCUUGAGAGAACUCGGGUGAAGGAACUAGGCAAAAUGGUGCCGUAACUUCGGGAGAAGGCACGCUGAUAUGUAGGUGAAGUCCCUCGCGGAUGGAGCUGAAAUCAGUCGAAGAUACCAGCUGGCUGCAACUGUUUAUUAAAAACACAGCACUGUGCAAACACGAAAGUGGACGUAUACGGUGUGACGCCUGCCCGGUGCCGGAAGGUUAAUUGAUGGGGUCAGCGCAAGCGAAGCUCUUGAUCGAAGCCCCGGUAAACGGCGGCCGUAACUAUAACGGUCCUAAGGUAGCGAAAUUCCUUGUCGGGUAAGUUCCGACCUGCACGAAUGGCGUAAUGAUGGCCAGGCUGUCUCCACCCGAGACUCAGUGAAAUUGAACUCGCUGUGAAGAUGCAGUGUACCCGCGGCAAGACGGAAAGACCCCGUGAACCUUUACUAUAGCUUGACACUGAACAUUGAGCCUUGAUGUGUAGGAUAGGUGGGAGGCUUUGAAGUGUGGACGCCAGUCUGCAUGGAGCCGACCUUGAAAUACCACCCUUUAAUGUUUGAUGUUCUAACGUUGACCCGUAAUCCGGGUUGCGGACAGUGUCUGGUGGGUAGUUUGACUGGGGCGGUCUCCUCCUAAAGAGUAACGGAGGAGCACGAAGGUUGGCUAAUCCUGGUCGGACAUCAGGAGGUUAGUGCAAUGGCAUAAGCCAGCUUGACUGCGAGCGUGACGGCGCGAGCAGGUGCGAAAGCAGGUCAUAGUGAUCCGGUGGUUCUGAAUGGAAGGGCCAUCGCUCAACGGAUAAAAGGUACUCCGGGGAUAACAGGCUGAUACCGCCCAAGAGUUCAUAUCGACGGCGGUGUUUGGCACCUCGAUGUCGGCUCAUCACAUCCUGGGGCUGAAGUAGGUCCCAAGGGUAUGGCUGUUCGCCAUUUAAAGUGGUACGCGAGCUGGGUUUAGAACGUCGUGAGACAGUUCGGUCCCUAUCUGCCGUGGGCGCUGGAGAACUGAGGGGGGCUGCUCCUAGUACGAGAGGACCGGAGUGGACGCAUCACUGGUGUUCGGGUUGUCAUGCCAAUGGCACUGCCCGGUAGCUAAAUGCGGAAGAGAUAAGUGCUGAAAGCAUCUAAGCACGAAACUUGCCCCGAGAUGAGUUCUCCCUGACUCCUUGAGAGUCCUGAAGGAACGUUGAAG
rnacentral:rRNA from 1 species